rnacentral:tRNA from 4 species
UCCUCAGUAGCUCAGUGGUAGAGCGGUCGGCUGUUAACUGAUCGGUCGUAGGUUCGAAUCCUACUUGGGGAG